AGCAGCCGCGGUAAUUCCAGCUCCAAUAGCGUAUAUUAAAGUUGUUGCAGUUAAAAAGCUCGUAGUUGAAUUUCGGAAUCAAUGGAUCGGUCAUGCCACUCGGUGUGUACUGGUUUGAUUGGUUCUCACCUUCUAAGGAACCGUGAUGUCAUUAAUUUGGUGUCGCGGGGAAUUAGGACUGUUACUUUGAAAAAAUUAGAGUGUUUAAAGCAAGCUCACGCUUGAAUACAUUAGCAUGGAAUAAUGAAAUAGGACAUUGUAUUCUAUUUUGUUGGUUUCUAGGAUCGAUGUAAUGAUUAAUAGGGAUAGUUGGGGGCAUUAGUAUUCAAUUGUCAGAGGUGAAAUUCUUGGAUUUAUUGAAGACUAACUACUGCGAAAGCAUUUGCCAAGGAUGUUUUCAUUAAUCAAGAACGAAAGUUAGGGGAUCGAAGACGAUCAGAUACCGUCGUAGUCUUAACCAUAAACUAUGCCGACUAGGGAUCGGAUGAUGUUAAUUUUAUAAUGACUCA
rnacentral:misc_RNA from 2 species